CGUAGACCACAACUCAUGUGUAGUUGCUGGAAGCCGCCAUUGCGUGCGAAAUAACAUAUUGCAGUCAAACUCAUUUGUCAUACAAUCUUGUUAAAUAGUAUAAAUAUAAGGCAAAUUCAAGAUGUCGAGGUUUUUUAUGGGAUCUGAUUCUGAAUCAGAUGAUUCAGUAAGCGAUACAGAGGUAGCACCACGAACCACUACCAAACCAGCAACGGGAUACCAGUUCAGUGAUGAAGAAGAAGAAACAAAACGUGAAGUUAGAAGUGCUAAAGAUAAAAGAUUUGAAGAAUUAAAGAAUAUUAUGAAAAACAUGAAUAACCAUAAAAAGAUUAAAGAUAUGGCCAAUGUUCUUCAGGAUUUUGAAGAUUUGGCGAAGGCUUAUGUCAAAACUAAAAAGGUGAUAGAACAGACAGGAAUACCCAGAUUUUAUAUUAAAUGUCUGGUCGAGUUAGAAGAUUUUAUCUGUGAGAUGUGGGAAGAUAGAGAAGGGAGAAAACAGAUGAGUAAACCUAAUAGUAAAGGUCUGACUACACUUAGACAGAAACUAAGAAAAUAUAUGAGGGACUUUGAAGAUGAUAUUAAAGCAUAUAGAGAGAAUCCUGAUGCUGAGGAGGAAGAAUUACAAGCUGAAUCAGAAGACGAAGAAGAUAUAGAAGUAGUUCCUUCUAUCAAACCUAAAGCAGCUGACGGCUUUCUCAAACCAAUCGAUAAAGCUGCUGCUGAAGCAGAUGAUGAUGAUGAUGAUGAUAGUUUAUGGGGGUCUGAUCAUGAAUCCUCAUCCAGCAGUGACGAUGAAUUACCAUCAGUUGGUGGUCUUAGACAGUAUACCGCAGCUAUGUUCUUGAAAAAAACUGGGGAAGAAGCAAGUAAAGAAGCAGAGGCAAAGAGAAUAAGAAAAGAAGAAAAAGCACAAAAGAAAAAAGAUUCAAAGAAGGAUGAAGGAGAAUGGACAGAUGUUGUUAAAGGAGCUCCUCAUGUUAUUGAGAAAACUGUUAUGUUUGCCAAGGAUACUGAAGUUAACCAUGAGGCUGUUAUGAAGAAAUUAACAGAGAUUAUUUCAGCCAGAGGAAAAAAAUCCACCGAUAGAAAUGAACAGAUUGAAUUGUUACAUGAACUAGCCACUAUAGCAAACACAAAUAAUUUAGGUCCAGCUGUACAAGUGAAAAUCAUGUUUAACAUUGUAGCUGCUAUAUACGAUUACAACCCCAACAUAGCUACAUGUAUGAGAUCUGAAAUGUGGGAGAAAUGUAUAAAGAAUGUUGGAGAUUUAUUAGAUCUCAUAGCUAAUAAUGCUGACAUUACUGUUGGAGAAAAUAUACUAGAAGACAGUGAAAAUGUAGAGACUUCCCCGUACAGAGUAAGAGGAUGUAUUUUAACUGUCGUAGAAAGGAUGGAUGAAGAAUUCACUAAGAUGUUACAGGCCUGUGAUGCUCACAGUACAGAAUACGUUGACAGGUUGAAGGAUGAGACAGUUGUUUGUGAAAUGAUAGAAAAACUUCAGGCUUAUUUAGAAGGCAAAGCAACAACCGAGGAAAUGUGCCGUAUUUAUCUUAAAAGAAUUGAGCAUACAUAUUAUAAGUUUGACCACACAAUUGUUGAUGGAACUGCUACUGAGGAUCCAACAAGAGAAGUGAUGCAACAAUUAUGUAAAUAUAUCCAUGCCAAGGAUAACAGUGAUAGACUGAGAACCAGAGCUAUGUUGUGUCAUAUAUACCAUCAUGCAUUGCACAAUAGAUGGUACCAGGCCAGAGAUCUUAUGUUAAUGUCACAUCUUCAGGAUACAAUCCAGCACUCUGAUAUUCCUACACAGAUUCUAUACAACAGAACGAUGGUACAGCUAGGUCUGUGUGCCUUCAGAGAAGGCAUGAUCAGGGAUUCCCACAAUGCUUUAGUUGAUAUACAGAGUGGUGGUCGUGCAAAGGAAUUAUUGGCACAGGGUCUGUUACUACAAAGACAGCAUGAGAGAACACCUGAGCAGGAGAAGAUUGAGAAACGCCGUCUGCUCCCUUAUCAUAUGCAUAUAAACUUGGAAUUAUUAGAAUGUGUUUAUCUUGUGUCUGCUAUGUUAAUGGAAAUCCCUUAUAUGGCUGCUCAUGAAUUUGAUGCCAGGCGAAGGAUGAUCAGUAAGAACUUCCAUCACGUUCUGAGACUGAGUGAGCGUCAGACUUUACCUGGACCUCCUGAAAGUAUGAGAGAGCAUGUUGUAGCAGCAUCUAAAGCAAUGAAAAAAGGAAACUGGAAGGAAUGCCAAAACUUUAUCAUUAAUGAUAAGAUGAAUGCUAAGGUUUGGGAUCUGUUUUAUCAGAAAGAUAGAGUACGAGAUAUGGUGACCAGAAAAAUCCAGGAGGAGAGUUUACGUACCUAUUUAUUUACCUAUAGUAGUGUGUAUGAUUCUCUUAGUCUUGUCUCACUGUCAGAGAUGUUUGAACUAGAGAUCAGUGUCGUCCAUUCUAUCAUCAGUAAGAUGAUAAUCAAUGAAGAAUUAAUGGCAUCACUAGAUGAACCUACACGUACAGUUGUGAUGCAUCGUACAGAACCAACCCGUUUACAGUCCCUGGCGUUACAGUUGUCAGAAAAGGUCUCGUCUCUUGUAGACAAUAACGAAAAGAUCAUGGAAUUCAAACAAGGCAAUUUUGGCUUCCAAAAGACAAGUUAUGGUGUACCUAUACUAACACAAACAAGCCCAGAAUUACGGGGGAUAUCAACAGAACAAAGACACUUGGCAAGGCAACAAGUAUCAACAAAAUAAAGAUAAUUGGACUGGUGGUAGUAAGUAUCAGAAUAAAGACACUUGGCAAGGUAAUAAGUAUCAACAGAAUAAAGACAAUUGGACAGGCAAUAGAAGAAACCAAAACCGACAACAAAGAGCAUAUUAAUUACAAGUCAUAUAAACGUUUAUACAAAAUCUCAGUCACAUUGUUUUGGAGGAAUAAUAUUUUUCGAGUAUGUGUGACAUUACACAUGCUGCUUACUAUUGUAUAAAAUCGUGUACAUUGUCUGUAUAUGGCCAUUCCAGCUGUAUUAAAUCCAUUGCAUGUCAAGUUUUUAGAUAUUGACUCAUGUUAUAAUGUGGAAAUGUUUUGAAAUUUAGUUAUUAGAUUUAAAUCAAUUGACAAAAUACCCUAAUUCCUGUGUUAAAUUGUACAAUACAUUAGAUGAACAGUUGGAAAUCAGUUGUAUUGUUUUCGUAUUGGAACCCUCAUGUUUUCCUGGUAUCUAUUAUGAGUUUAUUUGCACAAUAAUUAUUUCAUAAUUGAUCUUUUUGAAUGCAACCCCCAUGUAAUUUUAGUAGGAAAAAUAUAUUGUUAUUGAAACAGCUGUUUUGAAAUGAAAAAAAAAGUUAAUUGUAAAAACUACAUAAAAACUUAAAGCUAGAAGGCUAACCCAACCUGAUGUAAAAUUUGACAUAUUAUGGAUUUAAAAUAGUUGGAAUGGCCAGAAAUAUUUAAUUGAUUUUAGAAUAUUUUUGAAAGUGCUAACUCAUUGUACAAUAGUGCUUAAAUUGUCUUAAAAUAAUCAUGGUUUUAAUAUGCUUCAAUGAAAGUUAAAAAAAACAUAAUUAAAGAACGUGACAUAUGGUCACUAUUUGUUUUGUAAAAUUGAUGAUAUUCGUUUUAUACAUGUAUUAAAUUUUGAGAAUUAAAAAAAGUAUGCAUUGUGAAAAUUUAGACAAAAGUAAUUGAAUUUCUUGAAGGUAAAAUAAAAUUGUUUUGGUGAUA